rnacentral:rRNA from 1 species
GAAACUUAAAGGAAUUGGCGGGGGAGCACCACAAGGGGUGAAGUCUGCGGUUUAAUUGGAUUCAACGCCGGAAAUCUCACUGGAAGCGACGGCAGUAUGAUGGCCAAGCUGAUGACUUUGCUUGACGAGCCGAGAGGAGGUGCAUGGCCGUCGUCAGCUCGUACCGUAAGGCGUCCUGUUAAGUCAGGCAACGAGCGAGACCCGUACCUUUAUUUGUCAGUUAGUCCCCACGGGGACUGAGACCCAUUAAAGGAACCGCUGCUGAUAAAGCAGAGGAAGGAGCGAGCAACGAUAGGUCAGUAUGCCCCGAAUCUUCCAGGCUACACGCGGACUGCAAUGGCUGGUACAAUGGGUCCCAACUCCGAAAGGAGAAGGAAAUCCCGAAAGCCAGUCUUAGUUCGGAUUGUGGGCUGUAACUUGCCCACAUGAAGCCGGAAUCCCUAGUAAUCGCGUGUCAUUAUCGCGCGGUGAAUACGUCCCUGCUCCUUGCACACACCGCCCGUCACACCGCCCGAGUGAGGUUUAGAUGAGGCAAUAGCCACAGGUUAUUGCCGAGUCUGGGUUUUACAAGGGGGGUGAAGUCGUAACAA